rnacentral:rRNA from 1 species
UCGCAUGGUCUUCUGGGAAGCUUUCGCGGUAUGGGAUGGGGUCGCGUCCUAUCAGCUUGACGGCGGGGUAACGGCCCACCGUGGCUUCGACGGGUAGCCGGCCUGAGAGGGCGACCGGCCACAUUGGGACUGAGAUACGGCCCAGACUCCUACGGGAGGCAGCAGUGGGGAAUAUUGCACAAUGGGCGCAAGCCUGAUGCAGCGACGCCGCGUGAGGGAUGGAGGCCUUCGGGUUGUAAACCUCUUUUAUCGGGGAGCAAGCGAGAGUGAGUUUACCCGUUGAAUAAGCACCGGCUAACUACGUGCCAGCAGCCGCGGUAAUACGUAGGGUGCAAGCGUUAUCCGGAAUUAUUGGGCGUAAAGGGCUCGUAGGCGGUUCGUCGCGUCCGGUGUGAAAGUCCAUCGCUUAACGGUGGAUCCGCGCCGGGUACGGGCGGGCUUGAGUGCGGUAGGGGAGACUGGAAUUCCCGGUGUAACGGUGGAAUGUGUAGAUAUCGG